UACGGAGGGUGCAAGCGUUGUCCGGAAUCACUGGGCGUAAAGGGCGCGUAGGCGGCUCAUGAAGGCUGUGGUGAAAGUCCGGGGCUCAACCUCGGAUCGGCCGUGGCGACUCGUGGGCUGGAGCACUGUAGAGGCGGGUGGAAUUCCGGGUGUAGCGGUGGAAUGCGUAGAGAUCCGGAAGAACACCAGUGGCGAAGGCGGCCCGCUGGGCAGUGGCUGACGCUGAGGUGCGAAAGCGUGGGGAGCAAACAGG
rnacentral:rRNA from 1 species